GAUGAACGCUAGCGGCAGGCUUAAUACAUGCAAGUCGAGGGGUAGCAAGAUUGUAGCAAUACAAUUGUUGACGACCGGCAAACGGGUGCGGAACACGUACACAACCUUCCUACAAGUGGGGAAUAGCCCAGAGAAAUUUGGAUUAAUACCCCGUAACAUAGCGACGUGGCAUCACAUUGCUAUUAUAGCUUCGGCGCUUGUUGAUGGGUGUGCGGCUGAUUAGAUAGUUGGCGGGGUAACGGCCCACCAAGUCUACGAUCAGUAGCUGAUGUGAGAGCAUGAUCAGCCACACGGGCACUGAGACACGGGCCCGACUACUACGGGAGGCAGCAGUAAGGAGUAUUGGACAAUGGACGCAAGUCUGAUCCAGCCAUGCCGCGUGAAGGAUUAAGGUCCUCUGGAUUGUAAACUUCUUUUAUAAGGGACGAAAAAAGGUCUUUCUAGAUCGUCUGACGGUACCCACAGAAGAAGCCCCGGCUAACUUCGUGCCAGCCGCCGCGGUAAAAC
rnacentral:rRNA from 1 species